rnacentral:rRNA from 1 species
AACGAACGCUGGCGGCAGGCCUAACACAUGCAAGUCGAGCGAAGCCUUCGGGUUUAGCGGCGGACGGGUGAGUAACGCGUGGGAAUAUGCCCUUUGGUACGGAACAGUCCCGGGAAACUGGGUUUAAUACCGUAUGUGGUCCUUCGUAGUGGAUACGGGGGACGAAAGAUUUAUCGCCAAAGGAUUAGCCCGCGUUGGAUUAGGUAGUUGGUGGGGUAACGGCCUACCAAGCCGACGAUCCAUAGCUGGUUUGAGAGGAUGAUCAGCCACACUGGGACUGAGACACGGCCCAGACUCCUACGGGAGGCAGCAGUGGGGAAUAUUGGACAAUGGGCGCAAGCCUGAUCCAGCCAUGCCGCGUGGGUGAAGAAGGCCCUAGGGUUGUAAAUCCCUUUCAGCGGGGAAGAUAAUGACGGUACCCGCAGAAGAAGCCCCGGCUAACUCCGUG